rnacentral:rRNA from 1 species
UACGGAGGGGGCGAGCGUUGUCCGGAAUUAUUGGGCGUAAAGAGCGUGUAGGCGGUUCGGUAAGUCUGCUGUGAAAUCCUGGGGCUCAACCCUGGGCGUGCAGCGGAUACUGCCGAGCUAGAGGGUGGUAGAGGCGAGUGGAAUUUCGAGUGUAGCGGUGAAAUGCGCAGAUAUUCGGAGGAACACCAGUAGCGAAGGCGGCUCGCUGGGCCACACCUGACGCUGAGACGCGAAAGCGUGGGGAGCGAACAGG